AUAGAACGAGUUUACUAGCCAUUCGGUAAAGAACUAAAACUAAAUUCAAUUUUAAAAUAUGUGUAAGGUUGAUAUUUUGACAAUUAUACUAAAAUAAAGUUAGAUAAAUAAAUAAAUUAAUUAAAAUGAACCUGAAUUUUGUGAGUUGGGAAACGAAGCUCCAAUUUGAGCGAGAGUGUCACUCAGCGGUGUAGAUUGGAUCAGCACUUGUCGAAGUUUUGUCGUCGUUUCUAACUGGAUUGGAGAUGAUAUGCUUCACAGCCUCACACGGUGCCCUCCACUCUAAUAGAUAAGUGAGCUAGAAUUUUAACCGGCCCACAAAAAAACAAUUACAAAUCACCCGGCCCAACUACAAGGCCCAAAUCCCACCACUAUUACACAAUGACAGGAUUUAAAACAAAUGGAUGUGACAACAAACAGAGGCUAGUGAACAAUAGAGUGGAGUUGGCUAUGAAUAAAAUUUGGCUAGCUGAUGGGAUUUGAAGUGCUAGCUGGAUGAACAGUAGGCCGGCUCUUGUAGAAAUGUUGAAUAGGUUGUAGCCUUUGAAAAAAAAUGACAAUGCUUGAGAUUUGCUAGGAACAACGUCUAUGAAAACAGUGGACAAAAGAGAGUAGGCUAGCUUUAACUAAAAGAUAUAGAGUGGCAAUGUAGGCAAAGCCUUCUAAAUGUAGCAAAGAGCUAGCUGGAUAUGGACAGAGAGUAGACAAAAAAAAAAAAAGGGAGUAGGCUAACUUUUAACCAAAGGAUAUAGAGUGGCUUUUUUUUUUCUUCUACAAGAACGUUGCUUCUUCUUCUUCUUCAACAGAGUGGCUGCUUCUUCUUUGUUGAAAACUAGCCGCAAAAAAAAAUUAUGGAGAACCUUCAGCUUUGAUACCAAUGAAUGAAAAACAGAGAAGAAGAAAGAGGAUUUCUGAGGGGCUCCGGUAAUGGAUCCGCCCUCAUGAGAGAUUUUCUCUCAACCACCCAUGAUUCACGUUCUCCACCAUUCUCUCAACAGAGAAACAGUGGUUGAUUUGGUCAUCAAUGACCAAGUCAAGCUAACACUUUUGAGGAGGAGGCCUUUGUCCCAAAAACUUUUUGUUGGCCUGUUUGUUUGAAAUAAAUUGUGUUUUUAACCCA